GGCUUGUCCGUCGGCAUUGCCGGCGCGACUCCCCCGCCAUGUGCUGCCCGCCAUGUGAGGCCAUCGUCUGUUUGCAGCCAUUGGAGUGGACGGUGGAGUGUCUCAGAGAAGGCGCCUCACCAAAUUGGAAGAGGGCUUAGUGUGUGAACCUGAUGAAUGUCGCACCCUUGCAGAAAACUACACUAUUGGUCUCCAGGGCUUCCUUGUCUUCAACGCUGUUGGAGGUGGAACUUGCUAUGGCCUUGGUUCUCUUCUCCUUGAGCAGCUCUUUGUUGACUGUGGAAUAAAUUACAAGCUUGAGUUCACUUGUGUGUCCUCACUCUCUCAUUGAACACAUUUAUGUGGUUGUUCUUAACAACGAGGCUAUCUAUGCCAUCUGCCUCUAGUCCCUUG